rnacentral:rRNA from 1 species
UACGAAGGGGACUAGCGUUGUUCGGAAUCACUGGGCGUAAAGCGCACGUAGGCGGAUCUUUAAGUCAGGGGUGAAAUCCUGAGGCUCAACCUCGGAACUGCCUUUGAUACUGGGGAUCUCGAGUCCGGGAGAGGUGAGUGGAACUGCGAGUGUAGAGGUGAAAUUCGUAGAUAUUCGCAAGAACACCAGUGGCGAAGGCGGCUCACUGGCCCGGAACUGACGCUGAGGUGCGAAAGCGUGGGGAGCAAACAGG